rnacentral:rRNA from 1 species
AUUGAACGCUGGCGGCAGGCCUAACACAUGCAAGUCGAACGAGUGGCGGACGGGUGAGUAAUGUCUGGGAAACUGCCCGUUGGAGGGGGAUAACUACUGGAAACGGUAGCUACUACCGCAUACCAUCGGAUGUGCCCAGCUGGGCUUAGCUAGUAGGUGGGGUAACGGCUCACCUAGGCGACGAUCCCUAGCUGGUCUGAGAGGAUGAUCGGCCACACUGGAACUGAGACACGGUCCAGACUCCUACGGGAGGCAGCAGUGGGGAAUAUUGCACAAUGGGCGCAAGCCUGAUGCAGCCAUGCCGCGUGUAUGAAGAAGGCCUUCGGAUUGUAAAGUACUUUCAGCGAGGAGGCGUUACUCGCAGAAGAAGCACCGGCUAACUCCGUGCCAGCAGCCGCGGUAAUUC